rnacentral:rRNA from 1 species
AUGGCAGACGGCAAGGUGUCCGCAUCCGAGCUGCGGCGCUGCACGGAGGCGACGCUGGGCAAGUACGUGUCUGAGGAGGAGGCGGUGGCGGCCCUCGCGGCGGUGGACACCGACGGUGACGGACUGCUAAACCAAGAAGAGUUCUCGAGGCUGGCCGCCGCCGGCGCCCAUGAAGCGGACGAUGCUGACGUGAAGCGAAGGUGCUUGAGGGAGGCUUUCGGGAUCCACAGCUCCAAGAAUACGCGGAGGAUGUGGCCCGCUUCCAAGUGCGUCUGCGUGCUGGCCACCCACGCCGGGUCCUUCAAGUGCCGCUUCCACCGCACCAACUCCCAGGCCCAGGGAAGCCGCCCUUCUUCGCCCCCUUCAACGGCCGCGGCCAACGGGGUGCCGCGGCACCCGGCCUCGCCGUUCUCGUCCUCCGGCACCGUCACGACCCAGUGA